GAUGAACGCUGGCGGCGUGCCUAAUACAUGCAAGUCGAGCGAACAGACGAGGAGCUUGCUCCUCUGACGUUAGCGGCGGACGGGUGAGUAACACGUGGAUAACCUACCUAUAAGACUGGGAUAACUUCGGGAAACCGGAGCUAAUACCGGAUAAUAUAUUGAACCGCAUGGUUCAAUAGUGAAAGACGGUUUUGCUGUCACUUAUAGAUGGAUCCGCGCCGCAUUAGCUAGUUGGUAGGGUAACGGCUUACCAAGGCAACGAUGCGUAGCCGACCUGAGAGGGUGAUCGGCCACACUGGAACUGAGACACGGUCCAGACUCCUACAGGAGGCAGCAGUAGGGAAUCUUCCGCAAUGGGCGAAAGCCUGACGGAGCAACGCCGCGUGAGUGAUGAAGGUCUUCGGAUCGUAAAACUCUGUUAUUAGGGAAGAACAAAUGUGUAAGUAACUAUGCACGUCUUGACGGUACCUAAUCAGAAAGCCACGGCUAACUACGUG
rnacentral:rRNA from 1 species